CAGCUACUCCCUCCGUUCCGAAUUACUUGUCUUAGAUUUGUCUAAUCUAAGACAAGUAAUUCGGAACGGAGGGAGUAGAUA
rnacentral:pre_miRNA from 1 species